rnacentral:lncRNA from 1 species
AACGAAGACCCUAAAGAUCUCGAAGAAAUCAGGUGGGACAAGGGAUGAGGGGUUGCGGGAGACCAAAUCAGAGGAAUGCGACAGAAGAAAAUGGAGGAGAAAAGGCCCCUAAAUGGCAAGAAGAAAAACGAAGGUUCCGGGACUAACCUAGAUCGCUCUGAAGGAUGCAGAGGGGCGAGGACAGGGAUGACUCGAAGGAUGCCUAGGGUCAAGGAAGACGCCAAGGAGAGUCAGGGCUCUCGAAGAAAAGACGGACAUCGAUAGAACUUUCAGGCAAAAUAGGGCCCCUAAAGGCAGAAGGGCGGGUUUAAAUAGACCCUGAGAUCCGGCACCAUAAUGAUCGCGAAUCCCCCC